rnacentral:rRNA from 1 species
GUAGGUGGCAAGCGUUGUCCGGAAUUAUUGGGCGUAAAGCGCGCGCAGGCGGUCCUUUAAGUCUGAUGUGAAAGCCCACGGCUCAACCGUGGAGGGUCAUUGGAAACUGGGGGACUUGAGUACAGAAGAGGAAAGCGGAAUUCCAAGUGUAGCGGUGAAAUGCGUAGAGAUUUGGAGGAACACCAGUGGCGAAGGCGGCUUUCUGGUCUGUAACUGACGCUGAGGCGCGAAAGCGUGGGGAGCAAACAGGAUUAGAUACCCUGGUAGUCCACGCCGUAAACGAUGAGUGCUAAGUGUUAGGGGGUUUCCCGCCCCCCUUAGUGCUGCAGCUAACGCAUUAAGCACUCCGCCUGGGGAGUACGGCCCGCAAGGCUG